CGUGGCUCCACUCCACUGAAUCAGUUAGCCACAAGAAAGACGUCCUUUUCUCCGGGAGCUGCAUGGGGACUGCAGGAGUCCAAAGCCUCGCUGUGUUUUAUGGGGAACAGUUAUUAAUAUUGGGUCAAAUAAUCCAGUAUUUCUUCACUCUGGUGCUGAAGGUCCGCUGCGCUGCUGUUUACUGUGCUUCCCCUUUACUCUGUUUUCAUUUAAAGCCCCUCAGUCUUAAAACAGCGGCACUAGCGGGCCUCCAGCGGGCCUCCAGCACCGAUAGUGAUUAUUACCCUGCCGGAUUAGAUUAGAGCAGCGCGGCGGAGCUCUGUAAGUCCCGGUGACGCUGCAACUGGAUUUUAUAAAGAUAUGAGAAAAGAAUGCUUUCGUCGAGGAUUUAACAUGAAAAGGCCCAGUUCCAAAAGACACAACAUCCUCAGUGUCCUGGAGCUCCAGCUGAAGCACUGGCCACCUUCUCCAUCCCCACCCAAAAGAGGAAGAUCAGCAGCAGUGGAGGGUCCCAGGAUGUUGAGAUGGUAGUGCAGAGCGGUACGUCUAAGGCAGCUAGUUGAAGGCGUGAUUGAGGUCCAUGCCAGAGGGGUUCUGCACUGUGACCUCAAGCCAUAAAACAUCCUGGUUCAGAUGUACAGUUAGGAACCACGCCUUCAUCUUCUGUUCUUCUGGACCUUCCUCAUGAGUGGUUUACCCAUGAGGCCAAAUCCUCCACAGUGUUGCAGAUAGGAAUCAUCCUGCUGUGUGUGAGAGGUGACCCUUCAACACCAGCACGGAGAUCACCUCAAAGAAGUCUCAGAUCAUCUCUCCACCAUCUGCUCUAUGACCCCUGGCUAAGUAUACACCACGACACAGCCACCACAUCAGGCACACCUCAGUCAGGUACCAUGUAAAACAAUAAUAAUAAAAAUUUAAAAAAAUCUAUAUUUUCAAUCUCUAGUUUAGAGAGUUCUCUAGUAGAGCUGGGCGAUUAAUCGAUUUUAUCGAUAAAUUCGAAUUUAUAGUUAAGGACAAUGUGUUUUUAUGAAAAUCGAUUUUCUCUGAGUUUUCUUUUUCACCACAGACGCUCCUCUGUGGGCACAGAGUGAGCUUAGCUAGCUCCCUCCAUACCUCCCUCCCUCCAGCGCGCACACCCCCUGCCCCUCCCUCACUCCCUCCCUCCCUUGCACGCACAAACACACACGUGCACACACACACACACAUACACAAAACACAUGACGGCGGAGCUUAAGAGCAACUAGCUCCGUGAUCUGGAGUUGGUUCGGUUUUGCGGCGUCGGACGUAGACCAAACAGGUCCUCGCUGUAAGGUGAACCAAUUUAUCACUAUACCUUAAACAGAAGCAUGUAGCGGAGUGGGAGAAGUGCUGCUACCAUAGGAAUGAACGCAGCAGCAGCACCAGUUCACCAUUCAACGUUAAACAAGGAACUGUCCCUGGCACAUCUUCCAACCGUGUACCAGGUUUUGUAUGCACUACAAGUUAAGAUGUUUUGCAUAUUCAUGAGAAAAGAUCUCAUUUUAUAGAACACUGGCACUUAUUUAAAAGCUUUGUUUUGCAAUUCUAGCCCAAUAGGGAAAAGUAUUUACUUAAGAGCAUAUAAACUGUACUUGUUUUCUAUUGUCUACUUUGUAAGUUUUAUCAAAAAAGGGCACCAUUUUAUUUAUUUCUAUUUGUUUUUAAGGGUGUGUUUAUUUAUUUAUUUAUUUAUUUAUUUUUUAAGUUUGAGGGUGCAUUGUGUCAGUACCUAAACUAUGUUGGAGAAAGCUUUCUAAAAGUCACUAGAUGUUCUCACUGUUUACAAUAGUUUUUUUUGCUUGUUUCUGGUUGCACUUUAACCACAAAUGGAACAUUUUAAGUGAAAACAAAUUAAAUAAGAACUAGUUUUUAACCAUUUCUUUAUAAUCUUUAGUUAGAUUUUUAGUAGGGGGAAAAAAUCGAUUUACCGUAUUUUUCGGACUAUAAGGCGCACUUAAAAACUUUUAAUUUUCACAAAAAUUGACAGUGCGUCUUAUAAUACGGUGCGCCUUUUGUAUGGAUUUUACUCGUCAGGUUGUAAGGAGCAGUAAACACACACUCCGUGCAGCGUUAUACAGAGUUUCAGUGCUAUACAGAGUCCA